UGGGAGGAUCACCCUAUGCUGCGCAGCCCA
rnacentral:piRNA from 1 species